GUGCUCAAUUCGGCAGUACACAUACUAAAAUUGGAAUGAUAUAGAGAAGAUUAGCAUAGCCCCUGUGCAAGGAUGACACACAAAUUUGUGAAGUGUUCCAUAUUUUU